rnacentral:rRNA from 1 species
AACGUAGGGGGCGAGCGUUAUCCGGAAUCACUGGGCGUAAAGGGCGUCUAGGCGGCUUCUCAAGUCUUGCGUGAAAGCUCCCGGCUCAACUGGGAGAGCGCGUGGGAAACUGGGAGGCUUGAGACGUGGAGGGGUGCAUGGAAUUCCCGGUGGAGUGGUGGAAUGCGUUGAGAUCGGGAGGAACACCAGAAGCGAAAGCGGUGCACUGGCCACGGACUGACGCUGAAGCGCGAAAGCCAGGGGAGCAAACGGG